rnacentral:snoRNA from 1 species
UGGACAUUUAUUUUUAUUAAGUUUCUUCUCAAGGUGAAGACAGCUUCUUUGUAAAUGUCUUAGAGAGAAAUAUAGUAGCUUUCUGUUCACCUUUUGCAAGUAAAGAAGGUGGAUUGUUCCACUCCUGACAUUU